UUUACGUGGAUUUUAUAAUUCUGCAGCCAGGUGUGCAGACCCUGAUGGAUACAUAAAAACGAACCCAAGCUGUUUAGACGAGGAGAAUAAACGUUUUAAUUUUGGUUCAGUGACAUGUUAUGGAAAUACGACAGAGAAUGUCGCCUGUCCUAAAGAUCAGUUCAUGGUGGUCAAGACUGCAUCUUACCGUGGAUUGUCUGACUCAAAGACAUGUGGUUUGAGUGAUGAUUAUAGUUGUACAGUUGAUGUAACAUGUCUUGUUAAGAAACAAUGUGAUGGUCAACAUGAGUGUAAAAUAACUGUGAAUGAAACCUUGUUCUCUGAUGAUCUGUGUCCUGGAUUGAA